CGUCUACGAGUUUGAUCAUGGCUCAGAACGAACGCUGGCGGCAGGCCUAACACAUGCAAGUCGAGCGAACCCUUCGGGGUUAGCGGCGGACGGGUUAGUAACGCGUGGGAAUAUACCCUUUGGUACGGAAUAGCCUCGGGAAACUGAGAGUAAUACCGUAUGUGCCCUUCGGGGGAAAGAUUUAUCGCCAAAGGAUUAGCCCGCGUUGGAUUAGAUAGUUGGUGGGGUAAUGGCCUACCAAGUCUACGAUCCAUAGCUGGUUUGAGAGGAUGAUCAGCAACACUGGGACUGAGACACGGCCCAGACUCCUACGGGAGGCAGCAGUGGGGAAUCUUAGACAAUGGGCGCAAGCCUGAUCUAGCCAUGCCGCGUGGACGAUGAAGGCCUUAGGGUUGUAAAGUCCUUUCAGAUGGGAAGAUAAUGACGGUACCAUCAGAAGAAGCCCCGGCUAACUCCGUG
rnacentral:rRNA from 1 species